GCCUAGUUCGUCUUUACUAUAAGAUGUUUCUCAAGCCUAAAACGGAGGCAGGCUGGUUCAUCACCAGAAACAUGGAAAAUAUUUUGACUAGAGAUAUUGGUUUGUGUCCUUGGUUUUAAAUCUUUCUUCUUUUGCACAGAGAAUUAAUGAGCAGAGCUGCCUGGAAGCUACUUGUGAUCAGAUACUUCCCUGAUCUUUGGAUGUGUUGUGCUGAAACCUGUCUAGUCACCAGGAUGGAGAGAUGAAGAGAUGAUGAUAAGUGAGAUAAAUCGUGACAGUUUCUGGACCACAUGAAAUAGCAAGAAGAAAUGACUCGGAUGUGAUCCAUGGUGGUGGCAGGGAAUCACCUAAGUGCAAGCCAGGUUCCAAGUGACCAGUGGGAAAGACCUGAAGUGUGGCCACACCUCUUCCUUGCAUACUCCAGCCCAGAGACAUGUGGCCUGGGCAGAGGCGCUGUCUCUGGUCCAGCCCGGGGAAGGCAGAAGAACACUUUCUUUCAGUUUCUGGAAAAGAUGCUCUGGCCUCUAAUUCUUCACCUACCUGAAGUAGUUGGCUGGUAG
rnacentral:lncRNA from 1 species